rnacentral:rRNA from 1 species
AGAGUUUGAUCAUGGCUCAGGAUAAACGCUGGCGGCGUGCCUAACACAUGCAAGUCGAACGAUCCCGCAAGGGAGAGUGGCGGAAGGGUGAGUAACACGUGGGAAAUCUACCUCCUCGCAGGGAACAACCUCUCGAAAGAGAGGCUAAUACCCAAAAGGGUCAGAAAUGAUCAGAGUCGAAAGGCGUGAGGAGAGGAGCCCGCGGCCCAUCAGCUAGUUGGUGAGGUAAUGGCUUACCAAGGCUACGACGGGUAGGGGAUCUGAGAGGAUGUCCCCCACACUGGAACUGAAACACGGUCCAGACGCCUACGGGUGGCAGCAGUGAGGAAUAUUGGACAAUGGGCGAAAGCCCGAUCCAGCAACGCCGCGUGGAGGAUGAAGGCCUUCGGGUCGUAAACUUCUUUAGAGGGAGACGAGAAAGGACGGUAUCCCUAGAAUAAGCGACGGCAAACUACGUG